GCUCCAGUAGCGUAUAUUAAAGUUGUUGCAGUUAAAAAGCUCGUAGUUGGAUUUCUGGUUUGACAAAACUGACCGCUGCUUUUUUCGCGGUGAGUGUCGGGAAUUGUCUACCAUCCUUCUAGAAAACUGUCUACCUCACUGGGCCGGACACGCGAUCUAGAACUUUUACUUUGAAGAAAUUAGAGUGUUCAAAGCAGGCU
rnacentral:rRNA from 1 species